GGGAAGUUCUCACGCGGUUUGCCUAAUUUUUUACCUGGACCCCAUGACGUUUUAUCUUGCUCCUCUGAUUUAGCGGCGGACGGGUGAGUAACACGUGGGCAACCUGCCCUGCAGACUGGGAUAACUUCGGGAAACCGGAGCUAAUACCGGAUAAUCCAUUUUACUUCAUGGUGAAAUGUUGAAAGGCGCUUUCGCGCCACUGCAGGAUGGGCCCGCGGUGCAUUACUAGUUGGUGGGGUAACGGCCUACCAAGGCGACAUGCAUAGCCGACCUGAGAGGGUGAUCGGCCACAUUGGGACUGAACACGGCCCAAACUCCUACGGGAGGCAGCUAGGGAAUCUUCCACAAUGGAAAAAGUCUGAUGGAGCACGCCGCGUGAUGAUGAAGUUUUCGGAUCGAAAACUCUGUUGAAGGGAAGAACA
rnacentral:rRNA from 1 species